GAGUUUGAUCUUGGCUCAGAACGAACGCUGGCGGCAGGCUUAACACAUGCAAGUCGAACGGGCAUAGCAAUAUGUCAGUGGCAGACGGGUGAGUAACGCGUGGGAACGUACCCUUUACUACGGAAUAACGCAUGGAAACGUGUGCUAAUACCGUAUGUGCCCUUCGGGGGAAAGAUUUAUCGGUAAAGGAUCGGCCCGCGUUGGAUUAGCUAGUUGGUGGGGUAAAGGCCUACCAAGGCGACGAUCCAUAGCUGGUCUGAGAGGAUGAUCAGCCACAUUGGGACUGAGACACGGCCCAAACUCCUACGGGAGGCAGCAGUGGGGAAUAUUGGACAAUGGGCGCAAGCCUGAUCCAGCCAUGCCGCGUGAGUGAUGAAGGCCCUAGGGUUGUAAAGCUCUUUUCACCGGUGAAGAUAAUGACGGUAACCGGAGAAGAAGACCCCGGCUAACUUCGUGCCAGCCGCCGCAGUAAG
rnacentral:rRNA from 1 species